AUGCACGCUGGCGGCGUGCCUCAUACAUGCAAGUCGCGCGAACGGACGAGAAGCUUGCUUUUCUGAUGUUAGCGGCGGCCGGGUGAGUAACACGUGGAUAACCUACCUAUAAGACUGGGAUAACUUCGGGAAACCGGAGCUAAUACCGGAUAAUAUUUUGAACCGCAUGGUUCAAAAGUGAAAGACGGUCUUGCUGUCACUUAUAGAUGGAUCCGCGCUGCAUUAGCUAGUUGGUAAGGUAACGGCUUACCAAGGCAACGAUGCAUAGCCGACCUGAGAGGGUGAUCGGCCACACUGGAACUGAGACACGGUCCAGACUCCUACGGGAGGCAGCAGUAGGGAAUCUUCCGCAAUGGGCGAAAGCCUGACGGAGCAACGCCGCGUGAGUGAUGAAGGUCUUCGGAUCGUAAAACUCUGUUAUUAGGGAAGAACAUAUGUGUAAGUAACUGUGCACAUCUUGACGGUACCUAAUCAGAAAGCCACGGCUAACUACGUG
rnacentral:rRNA from 1 species